UCCUGGCUCAGAACGAACGCUGGUGGCGUGUCUAUACAUGCAAGUCGAGCGAGGCAGCAAUGCCGAGCGGCGAACGGGUGAGUAACGCGUAAGCAAUCUGCCCCAUAUCAGGAAAUACCCGUGCCAACGCGCGGUUAAUGUCCAGGAGAGUGGCCCUCUGCAUGGAGGGUUGACUAGAGACUUAUCGGUAUGGGAUGAGCUUGCGUCCGAUUAGCUAGUUGGCGGGGCAACGGCCCACCAAGGCGACGAUCGGUAGCCGGCCUGAGAGGGUGAUCGGCCACAUUGGGACUGAGAUACGGCCCAGACUCCUACGGGAGGCAGCAGUAGGGAAUAUUGCACAAUGGGGGAAACCCUGAUGCAGCAACGCCAACCGUGUGGGAAGAAGCAUUUCGGUGUGUAAACCACUGUCAUGAGGGAAUAAGGCCCGCCUUCGGACGGGAUUGAAUGUACCUUGAGAGGAAGCACCGGCAAACUUCGUGCCAGCCGCGGC
rnacentral:rRNA from 1 species